rnacentral:rRNA from 1 species
CCUGGUGGCUAUGGCGAGGGAGAAACACCCGAUCCCAUUCCGAACUCGGAAGUGAAGGCCCUCAGCGCCGAUGGUACUGCAUCUUAAGGUGUGGGAGAGUAGGUCGUUGCCAGGU